rnacentral:rRNA from 1 species
UACGUAGGGUCCGAGCGUUGUCCGGAAUUACUGGGCGUAAAGAGCUCGUAGGUGGUUUGUCGCGUUGUUCGUGAAAACUCACAGCUUAACUGUGGGCGUGCGGGCGUGACGGGCAGACUGGAGUACUGCAGGGGAGACUGGAAGUUCCUGGUGUAGCGGUGGAAUGCGCAGAUAUCAGGAGGAACACCGGUGGCGAAGGCGGG